rnacentral:lncRNA from 1 species
UUUGGCUCACGAAAUUGGAUGCGUGCAGCUUGUCGAUCACUUGUCUUCCAGGGUUUGAGAGAAUAAGCUGUUCGUGCGCGCACAAACACACAAAGGGUAAGAUAUCAAGAGACCUAUGGUUUUAUUUUUAGUUCAGAUACUAUGUUUGGGUAUGAUUAUUAAGCUUUACCUGAACUUCUCUCUUAUGUAGGCUUCUGUGCAACUCUUCAAAGGCAUGGAUGCCACUGGUGUCAAUGUCAGUCACGGCUGCAAAAGAGUAAGUGGAAAAACAUGAAAUAUAAGUAUCAUUUGCAAGAAGUGUGGUAGCAUAUAUAUUGCUUGAUUUUUUUAUUUUUUUUACAAGGUAAUCGUUCCCCACUUACGUGACAUGUCAACAAUCAAGAACCUAAUUUUAGGAAAGCCAGCGGAUUCUAGUUGCUCGUCCUCAUCCGUUACCCAUCUCAAUAUCCUGGAAAACAAGUUCAUUCUCUUGAAUUACACACACUUUUAUCUAUCUAUCUAUCUAUCUAUCUAUCUAUCUACUCAGAUUGAAGAUAGAAGAAAUAAUGGCUUACCUUUCUCUCGUGUAGUUAGAAUUUGAAAAGUAGAUAGCAGAAUCAACUCUCAC